UACAAACUACAGGGUAGAGGAAGAGAUAAUCAGGGUUUUCAUAGGAAGGGUUUUAUCAAAGAGGCUAAGAGGUAUUUUUUUUCCUUGGAGUUAAUUGAAGAGGCAGCUGAUUGUUUCAGAGCUUACGGAGGAUUAAAGUGUUCAACUGUGUUCAGAAGUAUUAGCAAGAGAGAUUAAAGUAUAGUUGGAAACAUAGAACCUCUGGGUUGUUUUGUAAGGUGCAAGGUAGAGCAUGGAAGCUGUAGGCGACUUCAGUAUGCAUUGAGGACUUAUAGAAUUUUAGCUACCUUAUUUUGUAAUUCCUGUUUUGUGGAGAUUAUUUCCCAUUUGUGGAGUUUAGACUUUUUUUUUUGUAAGAGGUUUUUAACAGUAU